GAUGAACGCUGGCGGCGUGCCUAAUACAUGCAAGUCGAGCGAACAGACGAGGAGCUUGCUCCUCUGACGUUAGCGGCGGACGGGUGAGUAACACGUGGAUAACCUACCUAUAAGACUGGGAUAACUUCGGGAAACCGGAGCUAAUACCGGAUAAUAUAUUGAACCGCAUGGUUCAAUAGUGAAAGACGGUUUUGCUGUCACUUAUAGAUGGAUCCGCGCCGCAUUAGCUAGUUGGUAAGGUAACGGCUUACCAAGGCAACGAUGCGUAGCCGACCUGAGAGGGUGAUCGGCCACACUGGAGCUGGGACACGGUCCAGACUCCUACGGGAGGCAGCAGUAGGGAAUCUUCCGCAAAGGGCGAAAGCCUGACGGAGCAACGCCGCGUGAGUGAUGAAGGUCUUCGGAUCGUAAAACUCUGUUAUUAGGGAAGAACAAAUGUGUAAGUAACUAUGCACGUCUUGACGGUACCUGAUCAGAAAGCCACGGCUAACUACGUG
rnacentral:rRNA from 1 species